rnacentral:misc_RNA from 1 species
GAAAUGCGAUAAGUAAUGUGAAUUGCAGAAUUCAGUGAAUCAUCGAAUCUUUGAACGCACAUUGCGCCCCCUGGUAUUCCGGGGGGCAUGCCUGUUCGAGCGUCAUUUCACCACUCAAGCCUCACUUGGUAUUGGGCGACGCGGUCCGCCGCGCGCCUCAAAUCGACCGGCUGGGUCUUUCGUCCCCUCAGCGUUGUGGAAACUAUUCGCUAAAGGGUGCCGCGGGAGGCCACGCCGUAAAACAACCCCAUUUCUAAGGUUGACCUCGGAUCAGGUAGGGAUACCCGCUGAACUUAAGC